rnacentral:rRNA from 1 species
UUGGGUUAGUCCCGCAACGAGCGCAACCCCUACGGUUAGUUGCUAACGGGUAAGGCCGAGCACUUUAGCCGAACUGCCGUUGACAAAACGGAGGAAGGCGGGGAUGACGUCAAAUCAUCAUGCCCUUUAUGUCCUGGGCUACACACGUGCUACAAUGGCCUGUACAAAGGGCAGCAAAGGGCAACCCGGAGCCAAAUCCCAAAAAACAGGUCUCAGUUCGGAUUGCAGGCUGCAACUCGCCUGCAUGAAGUCGGAAUCGCUAGUAAUCGCAGGUCAGCAUACUGCGGUGAAUACGUUCCCGGGCCUU